CCUACGGGAGGCUGCAGUGAGGAAUAUUGCGCAAUGGGCGCUAGCCUGACCCAGCCACGUAGCGUGAAGGAUGACUGCCCUCUGAGUGGUAAACUUCUUUUGUAUGGGAAUACAGUGCAGUUUGUAUACUGCUUUGCAUGUACCUUAUGAAUAAGGAUAGGCUAACUCCGUGCCGGCAGCCGCGGUAAUACGGAGGAUCCGAGCGUUGUCCGGAUUUAUUGGGGUUAAAGGGAGCGUAGGCGGUGUGGUAAGUCAGGUGUGAAAGUCUGCGGCUCAACGGGAAAAUUGCAGUUGAUACUGGCAUACUGGAGUGUAGGAGAGGUAAGUGGAAUUCGUGGUGUAGCGGUGAAAUCCUUAGAUAUCACGAAGAACUCCGAUUGCGAAGGCAGCUUGCUGGACCGUAACUGACGCUGAUGCUCGAAAGUGUGGGUAGCAAACAGGAUUAGAUACCCCUGUAGUC
rnacentral:rRNA from 1 species